rnacentral:rRNA from 1 species
AGAACGAACGCUGGCGGCAUGCCUAACACAUGCAAGUCGAACGAGACCUUCGGGUCUAGUGGCGCACGGGUGCGUAACGCGUGGGAAUCUGCCCUUGGGUUCGGAAUAACAGCGAGAAAUUGCUGCUAAUACCGGAUGAUAGACGUAAGUCCAAAGAUUUAUCGGCCCAAGGAUGAGCCCGCGUAGGAUUAGCUU